CUAUAAUGCAGUCGAGCGAACAGAUAAGGAGCUUGCUCCUUUGACGUUAGCGGCGGACGGGUGAGUAACACGUGGGUAACCUACCUAUAAGACUGGAAUAACUCCGGGAAACCGGGGCUAAUGCCGGAUAACAUUUAGAACCGCAUGGUUCUAAAGUGAAAGAUGGUUUUGCUAUCACUUAUAGAUGGACCCGCGCCGUAUUAGCUAGUUGGUAAGGUAACGGCUUACCAAGGCAACGAUACGUAGCCGACCUGAGAGGGUGAUCGGCCACACUGGAACUGAGACACGGUCCAGACUCCUACGGGAGGCAGCAGUAGGGAAUCUUCCGCAAUGGGCGAAAGCCUGACGGAGCAACGCCGCGUGAGUGAUGAAGGGUUUCGGCUCGUAAAACUCUGUUAUUAGGGAAGAACAAACGUGUAAGUAACUGUGCACGUCUUGACGGUACCUAAUCAGAAAGCCACGGCUAACUACGUGCCAGCAGCCGCGGUAAUACGUAGGUGGCAAGCGUUAUCCGGAAUUAUUGGGCGUAAAGCGCGCGUAGGCGGUUUCUUAAGUCUGAUGUGAAAGCCCACGGCUCAACCGUGGAGGGUCAUUGGAAACUGGGAGACUUGAGUGCAGAAGAGGAAAGUGGAAUUCCAUGUGUAGCGGUGAAAUGCGCAGAGAUAUGGAGGAACACCAGUGGCGAAGGCGACUUUCUGGUCUGUAACUGACGCUGAUGUGCGAAAGCGUGGGGAUCAAACAGGAUUAGAUACCCUGGUAGUCCACGCCGUAAACGAUGAGUGCUAAG
rnacentral:rRNA from 1 species